UCCUGAUACAUAGUACUUUUAUUUUAGCCAAGAGGAGGACUAUGAAAUCUUUUGAAAGAGGUCAAAGUUAUGUUCUAUUCUCUAGCUUAAAAAAAAAAAAAAAAUUCCCCACCUGGAGGGCAUUUUCAACACAAUGUGAACAGUUUUCAGCAAACACAUUCUUAAAGAUUCUUACAACUCUGGUUUAAAUGUACAGUGAGUGGAUACAUAUGUUAAUGACGCAUGUUUACUGCCGAAGCUGAUGCUGAAAUAAAACCACUGGCUACUCUUCCAUAUUCAUUCCAUCCUCUGUGGUUGGUACAGCCAACCUGUGGCUUUUCUUUUCAGUUUUUGUAUUUUCUCGUUCUCUCACCCUCGGUUCCUCCACCCACGGAGACAAUUUAUACGAACUCUGUAUUGUUCUGCUCCUCCCGCUCUGCCACCUGGAAUGUGUUCCCGGCUCCGGAUCAGGCCCCACGCUGUCUUCUGUAAAACACUUCCUUUUCUGCGAUCCAUUCCCUCAGUGCCUGCUUUAUCACAUUUUGUUAGCUGAUGCUCCAAGAUGAACUGCGUAUAGCGAUUCAGUCACUGAAAGAGACAGAUGACGACACUACCCAUAGAGUCGACCGGACGCAGGUUAAUAAGGAAACCCUUUGUGAGGUGGAGGCAGGGUUAAGAGAAUCCAUGAAAGGGAAUGAAGUCUCCCCGAGCUGGCGACGGUAGGAAGCUGUUUCCACCCCCAGGCCGAGAUGCAAGGGUUUGGAACCAUAUUUCUGGAACCUAGAGAAAGAUUGGAGCCCUGAGGAAAGGGACUCUCAAUAGAAAUGAUAAUUCAGCCACUGUGAGAAUUAAAACCAUGGAAGACCCAUGAUUUUAGGUUGACCUCACAAGAGGGCAGAGGACGAGGGAGUCUGGGUAACUUAGAACCCGUUCUUCAUGUUUUAGUGGCCAGUCUCCUGACCCUAUAGGCACAGGGCAGAGGAGAAGAGGCAAGGAGGAUGAUUACUGUGGAGGAACACAGAGAAGAAUGGACUCCAAAGAGCCUGAAGAUAACAAAAGCAAUAUGAGGAAGGCCUAGAAUGAUGAGAUAACUUGAAUAAAUACCUGAAAUGAUUGAAGUCUCAAGAUAUUAAGCCUAGAGACUUGGGAACAUACAAGACUUACCUAUAUUUAAAGAAUUGUCAUUUCUUGGUGGAGUAACUAGAC
rnacentral:lncRNA from 1 species